rnacentral:rRNA from 1 species
UACGUAGGGGGCUAGCGUUGUCCGGAUUUAUUGGGCGUAAAGAGCGUGUAGGCGGCCAGGUAGGUCUGCUGUGAAACUCGAGGCUCAACCUCGAGACGUCGGCGGAAACCAUCUGGCUAGAGUCCGGAAGAGGAGAGUGGAAUUCCUGGUGUAGCGGUGAAAUGCGCAGAUAUCAGGAAGAACACCCGUGGCGAAGGCGGCUCUCUGGGACGGUACUGACGCUGAGACGCGAAAAGCGUGGGGAGCGAACAGG